rnacentral:rRNA from 1 species
GAUGAACGCUGGCGGCGUGCCUAAUACAUGCAAGUCGAGCGAACAGACGAGGAGCUUGCUCCUCUGACGUUAGCGGCGGACGGGUGAGUAACACGUGGAUAACCUACCUAUAAGACUGGGAUAACUUCGGGAAACCGGAGCUAAUACCGGAUAAUAUAUUGAACCGCAUGGUUCAAUAGUGAAAGACGGUUUUGCUGUCACUUAUAGAUGGAUCCGCGCCGCAUUAGCUAGUUGGUAAGGUAACGGCUUACCAAGGCAACGAUGCGUAGCCGACCUGAGAGGGUGAUCGGCCACACUGGAGCUGAGACACGGUCCAGACUCCUACGGGAGGCAGCAGUAGGGAAUCUUCCGCAAUGGGCGAAAGCCUGACGGAGCAACGCCGCGUGGGUGAUGAAGGUCUUCGGAUCGUAAAACUCUGUUAUUAGGGAAGAACAAAUGUGUAAGUAACUAUGCACGUCUUGACGGUACCUAAUCAGAAAGCCACGGCUAACUACGU